AUGACUUCUUCCAUGGCUUGCCUUGUCCUACUCUUGGGCAUCGCCUGCCUCCUGCAGACAUCGCUGACCGCGGCGGCCCCGCCGCCGCCGCCAUCGUGGGAGCUGCCGGAAUCCGAGGUGAGGUCCAGGUGGACGAGGUGGCAAACCAAGUACUCCAAGCGCUACCCGACCCCCGAGGAGAAGGAGAAGCGGUUCCAGGUAUUCAAGACGAACACCAACUCCAUCGGCGCUUUCGCCAGCCAGACUACCGUCAACGCCGUCGUCGGCGGGUUCGGGCCCCAGACCGUCACCACGGUCAGGGUCGGCAUGAACAGAUUCGGCGACCUCAACCCCAGCGAGGUCGCGGAGCAGUUCACCGGGUUCAACAACUCCGUCUUCACCCCAGAGCCUCCCUCCCCGCUCCCCUACGACUCCUGGAAGCCGUGCUGCGUUGACUGGCGCUCGAGCGGCGCCGUCACCGGCGUCAAGUUUCAGGGCUCUUGCUUGUCAUGCUGGGCAUUCGCGGCGGUGGCGGCCAUCGAGGGCAUGAACAAGAUCAGGACCGGCGAGCUGGUGUCGCUGUCGGAGCAGCAGCUUGUGGACUGCGACACCGGCAGCAGCGGCUGCAGCGGCGGCCGCACUGACACUGCCCUGGGCCUCGUCGCCUCCCGCGGCGGCAUCACGUCAGAGGAGCGGUACCCGUACAGCGGCUUCAAGGGCACCUGCGACGUGGACAAGCUGCUGUUCGACCACCAGGCGGCCGUCAAGGGAUUCAAGGCCGUGCCGCCCAACGACGAGCGGCAGCUGGCGCUGGCCGUGGCGCGGCAGCCCGUGACGGUGUACAUCGACGCCAGCACGUGGGAGUUCCAGUUCUACUCAGGCGGCAUCUUCCGGGGCCCCUGCUCCGCCGAUGCCGCGACGGUCAACCACGCCGUCACCAUUGUCGGCUACUGCGAGGAGUUCGGUGAGAAGUUCUGGAUCGCCAAGAACUCGUGGAGCAACGACUGGGGCGACCAGGGAUACAUCCUCCUCGCCAAGGACGUUUUCGGGCCGACGGGCACCUGCGGCCUCGCCACCUCGCCCUUCUACCCAACAGCUUGA
rnacentral:rRNA from 1 species